rnacentral:rRNA from 1 species
AUUGAACGCUGGCGGCAUGCUUUACACAUGCAAGUCGAACGGUAACAGGGUGCUUGCACCGCUGACGAGUGGCGAACGGGUGAGUAAUGCGUCGGAACGUGCCGAGUAGUGGGGGAUAACGCAGCGAAAGUUGUGCUAAUACCGCAUACGUACUGAGGUAGAAAGUGGGGGACCUUCGGGCCUCACGCUAUUCGAGCGGCCGACGUCUGAUUAGCUAGUAGGUGAGGUAAAGGCUCACCUAGGCGACGAUCAGUAGCGGGCCUGAGAGGAUGAUCCGCCACACUGGGACUGAGACACGGCCCAGACUCCUACGGGAGGCAGCAGUGGGGAAUUUUGGACAAUGGGCGAAAGCCUGAUCCAGCCAUGCCGCGUGUCUGAAGAAGGCCUUCGGGUUGUAAAGGACUUUUGUCAGGGAGGAGAUCCCUAGCGUUAAUACCGCUGGGGGAUGACAGUACCUGAAGAAUAAGCACCGGCUAACUACGUGCCAGCCGCCGCCGUAACAC